AUGAACGCUGACAGAAUGCUUAACACAUGCAAGUCUUUGGCGAAGCUGUGCUUGCACCGCCUAGCCAAGGCGGACGGGUGAGUAACGCGUAAGGAACUUGCCCUGCAGUCAGGGAUAACAGACGGAAACGACUGAUAAGACCUGGUAAAGUCAGGCGGACUCAUGUCCAGCCUGAUGAAAAGAGAUGCUGCAGGAGAGCCUUGCGUCCUAUUAGCUUGUUGGUGGGGUAACGGCCCACCAAGGCGAUGAUAGGUAGCCGGCCUGAGAGGGUGGACGGCCACAAGGGGACUGAGAUACGGCCCUUACUCCUACGGGAGGCAGCAGUGGGGAAUAUUGGACAAUGGGGGCAACCCUGAUCCAGCCAUUCUGUGUGCACGAUGAAGGUUUUCGGAUUGUAAAGUGCUUUCAGCAGGGAAGAAAAAAUGACGGUACCUGCAGAAGAAGCGACGGCUAAAUACGUG
rnacentral:rRNA from 1 species